rnacentral:rRNA from 1 species
GAUGAACGCUGGCGGCGUGCCUAAUACAUGCAAGUCGAGCGAACAGACGAGGAGCUUGCUCCUCUGACGUUAGCGGCGGACGGGUGAGUAACACGUGGAUAACCUACCUAUAAGACUGGGAUAACUUCGGGAAACCGGAGCUAAUACCGGAUAAUAUAUUGAACCGCAUGGUUCAAUAGUGAAAGACGGUUUUGCUGUCACUUAUAGAUGGAUCUGCGCCGCAUUAGCUAGUUGGUAAGGUAACGGCUUACCAAGGCGACGAUGCGUAGCCGACCUGAGAGGGUGAUCGGCCACACUGGAACGGGAACGCGGUCCAGACUCCUACGGGAGGCAGCAGUAGGGAAUCUUCCGCAAUGGGCGAAAGCCUGACGGAGCAACGCCGCGUGAGUGAUGAAGGUCUUCGGAUCGUAAAACUCUGUUAUUAGGGAAGAACAAAUGUGUAAGUAACUAUGCACGUCUUGACGGUACCUAAUCAGAAAGCCACGGCUAACUACGUG